AGUUCUAACCUUCAAUAUCCGUGAAUGGGAUCUAAUUCGGAAGUACAGUCUCUGCAGAUGAUCAAGUUAAGAUGAAGUUUUAGAGUCAAACCCAAUCCAAUAUUACUGCUGUCCUUCUAAAAAGAAAAAAAAAAUGGACAUAGAGACAAACGUGUAGAAAGAUUCAUGAGAGAGACAGAAGAAGGAGGAGGAGGAAGAAAAAGAGAAGGAAGAGGAGGAAGAGGAGCCGUGAGGAGACGGAGUCUCGCUCUGUUGCCAGGCUGGAGAGGAGGACAUUACUUUCUCUGAGACAAAAAAGAACAUACUUGACACACCUGAUAAAUGAUACAGAAAAACAAUUUUUUAAAAAAGUUUCUU